GAAAUGUGAUACGUAGUGUGAAUCGCAGAAUCUCGCGAAUCAUCAAGACCUUGAACGCACACGGCACUCGGAGGUCCUCCUCCGAGUACGCCUGUCUGAGCGUCGCCUCACCAUCCUUUCCACCCCCCUCCGGGGGGGCGCAGUGGGGGUCCUGGCCGUCGGCGGCAGCUGCCCCCGUCGGCUCGAAUGCAGAGGGACGGGCCAGAGGGAACCUCGCCGAGCCGAGCCGGUCAGGGUAUCAAGCACCUCUCGCGUGCACGAAUCCCUACCGCCGCCGGAGAGACGCCUCGGGAUCCAUCCUAGGGAGAGAAUCCACGUUCCAAACAACGACCUCAGAUCAGGCGAGACCACCCGCUGAAUUUAA
rnacentral:misc_RNA from 1 species